rnacentral:rRNA from 1 species
ACGAACGCUGGCGGCGUGCUUAACACAUGCAAGUCGAACGGAAAGGCCCUGCUUUUGUGGGGUGCUCGAGUGGCGAACGGGUGAGUAACACGUGAGUAACCUGCCCUUGACUUUGGGAUAACUUCAGGAAACUGGGGCUAAUACCGGAUAGGAGCUCCUGCUGCAUGGUGGGGGUUGGAAAGUUUCGGCGGUUGGGGAUGGACUCGCGGCUUAUCAGCUUGUUGGUGGGGUAGUGGCUUACCAAGGCUUUGACGGGUAGCCGGCCUGAGAGGGUGACCGGCCACAUUGGGACUGGGAUACGGCCCAGACUCCUACAGGAGGCAGCAGUGGGGAAUAUUGCACAAUGGGCGGAAGCCUGAUGCAGCAACGCCGCGUGCGGGAUGACGGCCUUCGGGUUGUAAACCGCUUUCGCCUGUGACGAAGCGUGAGUGACGGUAAUGGGUAAAGAAGCACCGGCUAACUACGUG